AAGCAUUUCACUGUAAGGUCUACACUGUUGGUUAAGGGCUUGUAAGUCAGCAUUUCACUGUGAGGUCUACACUGUUGGUUAAGGGCUUGUCAGUCAGCAUUUCACUGUAAGGUCUACACUGUUGGUUAAGGGCUUGUCAGUAAACAUUUCACUGUAAGGUCUACACUGUUGGUUAAGGGCUUGUCAGUCAGCAUUUCACUGUGAGGUCUACACUGUUGGUUAAGGGCUUGUCAGUCAGCAUUUCACUGUGAGGUCUACACUGUUGGUUAAGGGCUUGUCAGUCAGCAUUUCACUGUGAGGUCUACACUGUUGGUUAAGGGC